rnacentral:rRNA from 1 species
AGCGGCGGACGGGUGAGUAACGCGUGGGUAACCUGCCUCAUACACAUGGAUAACAUACCGAAAGGUAUGCUAAUACAAGAUGAUAUAAGAGAUUCGCAUGGAUUUCUUAUCAAAGCUCCGGCGGUAUGAGAUGGACCCGCGUCUGAUUAGCUAGUUGGUAAGGUAAUGGCUUACCAAGGCUUCGAUCAGUAGCCGACCUGAGAGGGUGAUCGGCCACAUUGGAACUGAGACACGGUCCAAACUCCUACGGGAGGCAGCAGUGGGGAAUAUUGCACAAUGGGCGAAAGCCUGAUGCAGCAACGCCGCGUGAGCGAUGAAGGCCUUCGGGUCGUAAAGCUCUGUCCUCAAGGAAGAUAAUGACGGUACUUGAGGAGGAAGCCCCGGCUAACUACGUGCCAGCAGCCGCGGUAAUACGUAGGGGGCUAGCGUUAUCCGGAUUUACUGGGCGUAAAGGGUGCGUAGGUGGUUUCUUAAGUCAGGAGUGAAAGGCUACGGCUCAACCGUAGUAAGCUCUUGAAACUGGGGAACUUGAGUGCAGGAGAGGAAAGUGGAAUUCCUAGUGUAGCGGUGAAAUGCGUAGAUAUUAGGAGGAACACCAGUAGCGAAAGCGGCUUUCUGGACUGUAACUGACACUGAGGCACGAAAGCGUGGGGAGCAAACAGGAUUAGAUACCCUGGUAGUCCACGCCGUAAACGUGAGUACUAGGUGU